CACAGUACUUAAAGAGAACUCCACCUCAUAGCCUGCAAGUCAAUCCCAGGGAGGACAGCAAUUCCAUUCAAUCAGGACACCAUGACCUCUGACACGAUUCCAAAUGCAUCAACGGGGCCAUUAAUCAUCCUUCAGUGACAGAUGUACAUCCUCCGCUCCAACAGUCACUUAUCACACAUGUCUUGCGUAACAUAUAUCAAUUAUUUAGUUCAAUCAGCUUCCUUGUAAAUUUGUCGACGCACUUGGUAUGUAUCAAGCAUAUAAUAUAAUAUGACACAUGAUAUUAAAUUCCAGUCAGUAUUCUUAACAAAGUUAAUUCAAUAAGUAAACAAGAGAGUAAACUUAUCCUAUUUUAUUUAUUUUAAAUUCAAAUAUUGUAUUGUUCUCGAUACUGUAGAAAUAUUUAUUAUCUAACACUUAGUUAUAAACCAUAUAUUAAUAUGCUAAAGUUUCUGGUUUAUUUCAGGAUACCACACCGGAGCACAAUUACAGCCUAUAUAUAGUUCCUUCAAUAUUUAAUGAGGAGGAAGAGAAGAAUAAUCAUUCUUUUAUCCUUAUAAAUGCUCAGUGUUGUUCAAUGCAUAAGUUAAACAAAACACUCAAGUAAGUCAUUUAUCUCAUUCUUGAAAACAUUCAUAUGCUGCAUAUAAAAGGAAGAAGAAGAAGAAAGAUCCUGCAACCACUCAAAAGUCUGCAACCUAUUUCCAUCUUGAGAUGACACGUCACAUAAUCAAGUUUAUCAGCAAUUAAUACACACAGUCGUUAAGAUAAUGCAUCGAAGUCCAUCACAGGCAAAAUUAAUGAGGAGAAAGAAAAGAAUAAUCUUUCUUUUAUCCUUAUAAAUGCUCAACAUUGUUCAAUGCACAAGUUAAACAAAACACUCAAGUAAGUCAUUUAUCUCAUUCUUGAAAAUAAUAAUCAUGUAUUGCAUAUGAAGGAAGAAGAAGAAAGAUCCUGCAACCACUCAAAAGUCUGCAACCUAUUUCCAUCUUGAGAUGACACGUCACAUAAAUCAAGUUUAUCCGCAAUUAAUACACACAGUUGUUGAGAGAACUAUGUCGUAAAAUCCGUACACAAGUCAUCCAAAACAGUAAUCAAUGUGCAAGACACUACUUUACUUUGCACAGAAGUAACAUAUGUUUUGGACCUCCAAAAAUUAUGAGUUAAGUUGCAAACUAUCUCCUAUUUUCGAUUGUUCAAGGAGAUUGAUUCACAUAAUAUAUUUUCUUCCACACAAUGUAUAUAAAUAUGCCUAUAAUAGGUUCCAAUUUGUUUCAGAAGAAUUAUCAGAAUCAACACAACACAACCAUUAAAUGCAUCCCAAUCUUCUAUUAUUUUAGUGUAUUAAGAAUUAACUUCCAAUAAAUCCUUUCAAAUAAGUAA